GAACGAGAGCUCUAUGCUGCCCGAGAUCAGGACGGGGGAGGGGGGUGGCUGGGAAGGACAGGAGGAGGAGGGCUAAGAUCUGCGGGGACGGGUUGGGGCGUGGUGGACCACAGGGCUGGCCGGGGUGGAUGUCCCCCACCCUGCGUCUGGGCCAGGCUCGAACCGUGCAGGGGUGGGAACCUGGACAGCGGCACAGACGUCAGGACAACAGUUACUGCCUCGCUGCUUGGACCCAGGAGACGACCGACACGCAGUCGUCCAGAGUGCGGGUGGAGGAGGCCGGGGACGUGUGCCCUGCUGACCGCUGGGCUGCUCAUUUGCGGGCAUGUGGGAUGUGUUCCUGAUGGUCCCGCCCCAGCCGGGCUCGGCAGACCUUCCGCCCCCGUUUCUAGCCCCCUGCCCAUUCGUUCAAGGAAGAGAAGAGACCCCCGCCUUGCCCCUGCUCCCUCCGCCCCAGCUUCUGGGGACCUGGCACAUGCUCCACCCCGGACUCCACAGCCUGGCAGACAGGGCCAAGGGAGGGGCGGGGGAGCUAUUUUGGGUCUGGAAAAAGGGCUGUGGUGGGCAUGGGGGAUGGAUGAUGACAGGCUUUGCAGGGCUGGGCACCUCCUGCUGCCCGUCCCUGCCCACCCCACCCACCCCGCCGUGUGGUCAGCCCUGUCGGCUCUCAGCACAGACGGGGACCAGACCCAGUGGGAAGAGGGAGGUAGAGGGGGAGAGACCAAGAAAGAGGUGGGGGCAGAGAGCGAUGACGUCAGCCCAAGAGGUCCCCAAAGGGUGACAUGGCUGCAGAGAAGUGGCCAAGGUGACUAUGGCUGCUAUGGGAAGGGGGCAAUGAGCUUCCUGCUCCAGGCCAGGCUGUGCGGCUGCUGUCAUGGCGGAGCUCGGAAUCACUGUCCACGCUGCCUUCCUCUUGCACGUGGCUCCCGCCUGGGCUCUGUCCCAGCCUUCCAUGGCUGCAAGGCUGGACCAGGAGUCAGUGGAGGAGGAGUGGCUGGGGGUGGAGCUCUCCAGGGCGGGACCAGUGGAGGGGAGUGA
rnacentral:lncRNA from 1 species